rnacentral:rRNA from 1 species
CCUACGGGGGGCAGCAGUGGGGGAUAUUGCACAAUGGGGGAAACCCUGAUGCAGCGAUGCCGCGUGAAUGAAGACGGCCUUCGGGUUGUAAAGUUCUGUCGCAGGGGACGAAAAUGACGGUACCCUGCAAGAAAGCUCCGGCUAACUACGUGCCAGCAGCCGCGGUAAUACGUAGGGAGCAAGCGUUGUCCGGAAUUACUGGGUGUAAAGGGAGCGUAGGCGGGAGGAUAAGUUGAAUGUGAAAUCUAUGGGCUCAACCCAUAGCUGCGUUCAAAACUGUUCUUCUUGAGUGAAGUAGAGGCAGGCGGAAUUCCUAGUGUAGCGGUGAAAUGCGUAGAUAUUAGGAGGAACACCAGUGGCGAAGGCGGCUUACCAAACUACGACUGACGUUGAGGCACGAAAGCGUGGGGAGCAAACAGGAUUAGAUACCCUGGUAGUC